rnacentral:rRNA from 1 species
UACAGAGGUGGCAAGCGUUGUUCGGAAUUACUGGGCGUAAAGGGCUCGUAGGCGGCCAACUAAGUCAGACGUGAAAUCCCUCGGCUUAACCGGGGAACUGCGUCUGAUACUGGAUGGCUUGAGUUUGGGAGAGGGAUGCAGAAUUCCAGGUGUAGCGGUGAAAUGCGUAGAUAUCUGGAGGAAUACCGGUGGCGAAGGCGGCAUCCUGGACCGGCAUUGACGCUGAGGAGCGAAAGCUAGGGGAGCAAACGGG